CUGAAGCCCAGAGUUGCACUAGGCUGGUUGCUCCAUAAACUCAGCUAGACCAUGGUUCUGCUAGCACCAUCAGGUCUCUGGUUUCUGGGGAUUUUCUUAACAGCUACAGGCAACACAGAAGCCACGCUGAUCCAGCCUACCUCUAUACUGGCGCCCCCAGGAAGUGUCGCUCGGCUAUCUUGCACCCUUUCCAGCAACAGCAUUGCAACUUACACCAUCGUCUGGCUCCGGAGCAGACUUCAGGCCUCCCCUAAACCCCUCUUGCACUACAAAGACGAAUCUAGCCAAAAUAAAGCCGCUGGCGUCUCUGAUCGCUUCUCUGCUUCCAAAGAUGCCAACAGCAGCACCUGCUAUCUAACCAUCUCUGGGGUCCAGGCAGAGGACGACGGCCUCUAUUACUGUGUGACAUCAAAAGGAGGAGAGUAACACAGCGCUUCAAUGUACGGGAGCUCCAAGACCAAAACUCCAUCCCAUCGCCUUAGGGAGGAUGUCGGCACAGCUGACGAGGCAGGCAAACUAGCAGAUGCAUCUAGCUUAAGAUCGCAUGAAGAUGCUUCAGCCUGCAGAGUGCAGAUUCUAUUUCAAGAGCUCAGUGAACAAGAACACUCCCAACCACAAACACAUUGUUUCAGUUCCUACUUGGAUUGACUAAUAACACAGUCACUCUGUGAGCAGGGGUGCAUCAUCCAGAGGCGCUGGGACUCAUAGACCCCUUACUUUUUGAGACCUCUUGGAGGCCGGGCCUGGCAACCAAGAGGUCUUCUGCACCUUUAAAAGUUGUGCAGAGGGAAGGGAGAAUUCCACCUUGUGGUUUUCCCCAUUACAGCGUUGCAAGAACACCUGCACUUGGCUGACUUUCUCUUCUCCUAAAGAUACAGGAUCAGUCUCAGGCCCUGAACCUGGCAACCCUAUCAUGACUUCCCCCAAGGAAUCCUGGGCACUGUGGUUUCCUCUGCACAGAGCUACACAUUCCCAGCAACCUCAAGAAGCUACAGUUCAUGUGAUUCUUUGGGGAUAUCACGUGCUUUAAAUGUGCAUUGGGUGUGUCUUAAAUACAUGGUGUGGGUCUGCCCUUAGAACAGUGGCUCUUCACCUUUUUUGGGUUUACAAACCCCUUUGAGAAUCUGAUGAGAACUAUGGAUCCCCAUAAAUAAAUAA